rnacentral:lncRNA from 1 species
UGAGGGCUCACUUGUUUAAUCCCGGCGCAUUUUUUUUUGUGUCGGUCCAACGUCAGUAGUACGUUGGUUAUAUAUUUCUGUCAUAUUUUAUUUCUUCUUUAAUACAUAAUUCUUAAGUUAUCAAUAUAUAACCUUUAGUUUAAAAGUUCCUCGUUUUAAUUAUUUCACAUUUUGUUUUAUAUCAGGGCCCUUUUUAGCAGAU